UCUUGGUCAUUUAGAGGAAGUAAAAGUCGUAACAAGGUUUCCGUAGGUGAACCUGCGGAAGGAUCAUUAGUGAUUAUGAAAGGUUGCCCUCUGUGCUGGCUCCGGCAGGUGCACGAUGGUGACUUUCAUCCAACACCCCUGUGAACCUUUGGCCUCUUGCUGGCUUCGGCUGGCUGAGGAUUUACACAAACUCGCAUGUAUUGAGGACCCUUCAUGUGCGCAAGCACUACUAUAUACAACUUUCAACAACGGAUCUCUUGGCUCUCGCAUCGAUGAAGAACGCAGCGAAAUGCGAUAAGUAAUGUGAAUUGCAGAAUUCAGUGAAUCAUCGAAUCUUUGAACGCACCUUGCACCCUUUGGCAUUCCGAAGGGUAUGCUCGUUUGAGUGUCAUUGUACUCUCACACUCCCAAUUGCUUUAGAUUGGGAGCGGUGGACUUGGGUGUUGCUGCUUGACUGUGGCUCACCUGAAAUAUGUUAGUGCAUCUCUUGAUUGGACAUAGUACGGCGUGAUAAGUGUCUUCGCCGGCUCCUCGCAGAGAGGGUGGCCGAUCGGGGCUCUGUUGCUUCAAACUGUCCUCGGACAAUCUUCUGGCGACUGACCUCAAAU
rnacentral:rRNA from 1 species